AUUGAACGCUGGCGGCAUGCCUACACAUGCAAGUCGAACGGCAGCACGGGGGCAACCUUGGUGGCGAGUGGCGAACGGGUGAGUAAUAUAUCGGAACGUGCCCUAGAGUGGGGGAUAACGUAGCGAAAGUUACGCUAAUACCGCAUACGAUCUACGGAUGAAAGUGGGGGACCGCAAGGCCUCAUGCUCGUGGAGCGGCCGAUAUCUGAUUAGCUAGUUGGUGGGGUAAAGGCCUACCAAGGCGACGAUCAGUAGCUGGUCUGAGAGGACGACCAGCCACACUGGGACUGAGACACGGCCCAGACUCCUACGGGAGGCAGCAGUGGGGAAUUUUGGACAAUGGGGGCAACCCUGAUCCAGCAAUGCCGCGUGAGUGAAGAAGGCCUUCGGGUUGUAAAGCUCUUUUGUCAGGGAAGAAACGGUGAGGGCUAAUAUCCUUUGCUAAUGACGGUACCUGAAGAAUAAGCACCGGCUAACUACGUGCCAGCCGCCGCGGUAA
rnacentral:rRNA from 1 species